rnacentral:rRNA from 1 species
AACGAACGCUGGCGGCAUGCCUAACACAUGCAAGUCGAACGAGACCUUCGGGUCUAGUGGCGCACGGGUGCGUAACGCGUGGGAACCUGCCUUUAGGUUCGGAAUAACUCCCCGAAAGGGGUGCUAAUACCGAAUAAUGUCUUCGGACCAAAGAUUUAUCGCCUUUAGAUGGGCCCGCGUAAGAUUAGGUAGUUGGUGGGGUAAAGGCCUACCAAGCCGACGAUCUUUAGCUGGUCUGAGAGGAUGAUCAGCCACACUGGGACUGAGACACGGCCCAGACUCCUACGGGAGGCAGCAGUGGGGAAUAUUGGACAAUGGGCGAAAGCCUGAUCCAGCAAUGCCGCGUGAGUGAUGAAGGCCUUAGGGUUGUAAAGCUCUUUUACCAGGGAUGAUAAUGACAGUACCUGGAGAAUAAGCUCCGGCUAACUCCGUGCCAGCAGCCGCGGUAAUACGGAGGGAGCUAGCGUUGUUCGGAAUUACUGGGCGUAAAGCGCACGUAGGCGGCGAUUC